rnacentral:tRNA from 1 species
AGAAAUUAGGUUUAAUCUUCAA